GAUCCUGGCUCAGGAUGAACGCUGGCGGCGUGCUUAACACAUGCAAGUCGAGCGAAGCGCUUAAGUCUGAUUCUUCGGAUGAAGACUUUUGUGACUGAGCGGGCGGACGGGUGAGUAACGCGUGGGUAACCUGCCUCAUACAGGGGGAUAACAGUUAGAAAUGACUGCUAAUACCGCAUAAGACCACGGUACCGCAUGGUACAGCGGUAAAAACUCCGUUGGUAUGAGAUGGACCCGCGU
rnacentral:rRNA from 1 species